rnacentral:tRNA from 1 species
GCCGGUGUGGCGGAAUGGCAGACGCACUUGACUCAAAAUCAAGCGGGCAACCCCCAUGCUGGUUCAAGUCCAGUCACCGGCACCA